rnacentral:rRNA from 1 species
GACGAACGCUGGCGGCGUGCCUAAUACAUGCAAGUCGAACGAGAGCGACCGGUGCUUGCACUGGUCAAUCUAGUGGCGAACGGGUGAGUAACACGUGGGUAACCUGCCCAUCAGAGGGGGAUAACAUCCGGAAACGGAUGCUAAAACCGCAUAGGUCUUCGAGCCGCAUGGCUUGAAGAGGAAAAGAGGCGCAAGCUUCUGCUGAUGGAUGGACCCGCGGUGCAUUAGCUAGUUGGUGAGGUAACGGCUCACCAAGGCCGUGAUGCAUAGCCGACCUGAGAGGGUGAUCGGCCACACUGGGACUGAGACACGGCCCAAACUCCUACGGGAGGCAGCAGUAGGGAAUCUUGCGCAAUGGACGCAAGUCUGACGGAGCAACGCCGCGUGAGUGAAGAAGGUUUUCGGAUCGUAAAACUCUGUUGUUAGAGAAGAACAAGUGCUAGAGUAACUGUUAGCGCCUUGACGGUAUCUAACCAGAAAGCAACGGCUAACUACGUG